GUUGGGCAUGGUGGCGCAUGCCUGUAAUCCCAGCUACUCGGUAGACUGAGGCAGGAGAAUCGCUUGAACCUGGGAGACGGAGGUUGCAGUGAGCCGAGAUCAUGCCACUGCACUCCAGCCUAGGCGACAGAGCGAGACCCUGUCUCAA
rfam:Pan troglodytes isolate Yerkes chimp pedigree #C0471 (Clint) chromosome 13, whole genome shotgun sequence.